GCGGCGCCCUCGCAGCUCCGGCCGAGGCCUGCGCUCGGUCCAAACAGCCGGCGGUAACGACCCGCGGCCGCACACGUGCUCAUCGCACUGCCCCGAGACCCCUCGGAACGCAGAAAACAAGCUCAUUUAAAAAGAAAGGAUGGUAAUAUUCUCAAGAGAACAUGGCUCUGCCAUUUUACACAGAUCAAGAACAUUCAAGCAAAUCCAGAGUCUACUCAACAGUUUUUAAUGACACUUUCUCCAGAAUCUCUUUGCCACUUCUGAAUUUACCCCGUUGCAGAAAUCAUUAAGAAAUGUGACAUCAAGAGGCCACUGGCCCCAACAUCUCUCAUUCAGCUGUGCAGAGCAAUAAUGAGAAAGGUAAUGACUUACUACUACAUAUAUAAAUAAAAGAGACCUCCAAAUCAGAGGCAAA